rnacentral:rRNA from 1 species
CCUACGGGUGGCAGCAGUGAGGAAUAUUGGUCAAUGGGCGUAAGCCUGAACCAGCCAAGUCGCGUGAGGGAUGAAGGUUCUAUGGAUCGUAAACCUCUUUUAUAAGGGAAUAAAUGGCGGUACGUGUCCCAUUUUGUACGUAUCUUAUGAAUAAGGAUCGCCUAACUCCGUGCCAGCAGCCGCGGUAAUACGGAGGAUCCGAGCGUUAUCCGGAUUUAGUGGGUUUAAAGGGUGCGUAGGCGGCCGUUUAAGUCCGGGGUGAAAGGCUGUGGCUCAACCAUAGAAUUGCCGUUGAAACUGGGAGGCUUGAGUAUGUGUGAGGCAGGCGGAAUGCGUGGUGUAGCGGUGAAAUGCUUAGAUAUCACGCAGAACCCCGAUUGCGAAGGCAGCCUGCCAAGCCAUGACUGACGCUGAUGCACGAAAGCGUGGGGAUCAAACAGGAUUAGAUACCCCUGUAGUC